GUCCUGUUGCCUUUUCACCACGUUCAACAUAAACAUCAACCUGCAGUAGAGAAGCUUACACCUGUUGUGAAAGCCACACACCACACACCUGAUAGGUCGUCCGCCGGAACGAAAUGACAUCCAACUUACGGGUACUCCCAACAGAUUUAGUCCACCUGAUUUGCAAGGCAGCGGUCAACACCCAUCAAUAUUUGUCAAAACGGACGGAAACGGCUUGUGAUCUUUGCCGGUCGCUCUAUCCUAUCUACUUCGGUACCAUCCAAAGAGUCUGACGAUGGGUAAAACUGCAGACUCUGCAUACAACGAUGACAACGGAGGUUAAAAUGGUGCAGUUACAAAUUAUUGAAGCAAUUGACCUGGUGGUGGAACCGCUGAGUGGAAGCGGUCGAAUGGAAGAACAUAUAUGCCUAAGCGAUCCUAAAGAUUGAUUAUGUAAAGAGGAUGACAUUGUCCUUACGCCUCAGAGUAGAUAGUUCAAUAUGGGAUUUGCUGAACUUAUCUGUGGCUGCGCGAAGCUUGAACUUCGGAGGAAGGCUGCUAUGCACUGAACGGAACAUCUUUGGAGGCAGAGAAUGACGUAGUGGCAGUGGUCACUGGAUGUGUCUUGGUACUGCUGACCAGAUAUGGAUACACCGGAAAGUAACGAUUAUCGUGCGCAAGGUAAUAGCUACCGAAAAAGAGUGCGAAAUAUUCGCGAAGUUGCCCGAGGCCGAACGAGAUCUAAGAGCAAGAUUACCGGUGGUGAAUUUAAGCCAUUUGGCAGCGCAGUAUCAUUACUUGAUACUUUACCGGUCGCUACUAAAUACACUGCUAUAACAGCAGCGCGACUGACAGGUGACCAAAUUUGGUAGCGCGAUAAGAGCGCUGCUAUUUGAUGAACUGUCAACUGUCAAACGUCACCGGUACGGAAUACAGCAACCAAAUUGAGAGCCGAAAAUAGUGACCGAUACGGAAACGAGUGACGAAACUAAAAUGAAAGCGCUGCGCGGGUGAUUAAAAUGCUCGCGACCGAUAAUGAUGCUCUAAACGAUAUAGAUUCAUGAUUCGCACGGAGGAAACAAUUACAAUUUCGAUAAUUACAAUGAUCAUUAACAUCUAUAUGAUCACAAGCGUCGUCGAGACGAGAAUGGACUUCCAUAAACUUCAAUUUCCGCCAAUACAGCCACCGGAAAGCUGAAAUACUGCUACUCUACCUAUAAGGCAUGGAUCUUGCUUUCCCCUGUCCAACAGUAUAACCAGUAGCUCCGAUAUGGUGUUCCAGUCAGUAAGUUUUAAAAUCAAGGAUUA